AGUAACGCGUGGGUAACCUGCCCAUAAGUGGGGAAUAACAGUGGGAAACGACUGCUAAUACCGCAUAAGCUGAGCAAUCAGUAAAGGAGGCUUUUGCUUCCGCUUAUGGAUGGGCCCGCGUCUGAUUAGCUGGUUGGUGGGGUAAUGGCCUACCAAGGCAACGAUCAGUAGCCGGCCUGAGAGGGUGGACGGCCACACUGGGACUGAGACACGGCCCAGACUCCUACGGGAGGCAGCAGUGGGGAAUAUUGCGCAAUGGGGGAAACCCUGACGCAGCGACGCCGCGUGAGCGAAGAAGGCCUUAGGGUCGUAAAGCUCUGUUUUAAGGGACGAAUAUCCUUAGUAGUAACUGACUGAGGAAUGACGGUACCUUAAGAGAAAGCCCCGGCUAACUACGUGCCAGCAGCCGCGGUAAGACGUAGGGGGCGAGCGUUGUCCGGAAUUACUGGGCGUAAAGAGCACGUAGGCGGGAUUUUAAGUCAGGUGUGAAAGACCGUGGCUCAACCACGGGGUUGCACAUGAAACUGGAAUUCUUGAGGGCAGGAGAGGAAAGUGGAAUUCCUGGUGUAGCGGUGAAAUGCGUAGAAAUCAGGAGGAACACCGGUGGCGAAGGCGACUUUCUGGACUGACCCUGACGCUGAGGUGCGAAAGCGUGGGUAGCAAACAAGAUUAGAUACCCUGGUAGUCCGCGCUUAAACGACCAAAAGGGUGGGGAGGUAUCGACCCCUUCCGUGCCGCAGCAAACGCAAUAAGUAUCCCGCCCGGGGAGUACGGUCGCAAGGCUGGAACUCAAAGGAAUUGACGGGGGCCCGCACAAGCGGUGGAGCAUGUGGUUUAAUUCGAUGCAACGCGAAGAACCUUACCAGGUCUUGACAUCCAAAGAAUCCUGAUGAAAGUCGGGAGUGCCUUAGGGAGCUUUGAGACAGGUGGUGCAUGGUUGUCGUCAGCUCGUGUCGUGAGAUGUUGGGUUAAGUCCCGCAACGAGCGCAACCCUUGCUAUUAGUUGCUAACAUUGAGUUGGGGACUCUAGCGAGACUGCCAGUGACAAACUGGAGGAAGGUGGGGAUGACGUCAAAUCAUCAUGCCCCUUAUGACCUGGGCUACAAACGUGAUACAAUGGCUGUAACAAAGAGCAGCAAGAGCGCGAGCUUAAGCAAAACUCAUAAAAGCAGUCUCAGUUCGGAUUGGAGUCUGCAACUCGACCCCAUGAAGUCGGAAUCGCUAGUAAUCGUAGGUCAGCAUACUACGGUGAAUACGUUCUCGGGGUUUGUACUCACCGCCCGUCA
rnacentral:rRNA from 1 species